AUUGAACGCUGGCGGCAGGCCUAACACAUGCAAGUCGAGCGGUAGAGAGGUGCUUGCGCCUCUUGAGAGCGGCGGACGGGUGAGUAAUGCCUAGGAAUCUGCCUGGUAGUGGGGGAUAACGUUCGGAAACGGACGCUAAUACCGCAUACGUCCUACGGGAGAAAGCAGGGGACCUUCGGGCCUUGCGCUAUCAGAUGAGCCUAGGUCGGAUUAGCUAGUUGGUGAGGUAAUGGCUCACCAAGGCGACGAUCCGUAACUGGUCUGAGAGGAUGAUCAGUCACACUGGAACUGAGACACGGGCCAGACUCCUACGGGAGGCAGCAGUGGGGAAUAUUGGACAAUGGGCGAAAGCCUGAUCCAGCCAUGCCGCGUGUGUGAAGAAGGUCUUCGGAUUGUAAAGCACUUUAAGUUGGGAGGAAGGGUACUUACCUAAUACGUGAGUAUUUUGACGUUACCGACAGAAUAAGCACCGGCUAACUCUGUGCCAGCAGCCACAGUAACAC
rnacentral:rRNA from 1 species